rnacentral:rRNA from 1 species
UACGUAGGGUGCAAGCGUUGUCCGGAAUUAUUGGGCGUAAAGAGCUCGUAGGCGGUCUGUCGCGUCGGCUGUGAAAACUCGGGGCUCAACUCCGAGCUUGCAGUCGAUACGGGCAGGCUAGAGUUCGGCAGGGGAGACUGGAAUUCCUGGUGUAGCGGUGAAAUGCGCAGAUAUCAGGAGGAACACCAAUAGCGAAGGCAGCUCGCUGGGACGUUACUGACACUGAGGCGCGAAAGCGUGGGGAGCGAACAGG